AAAAACAUUCUUCCAGAACAAUUGUCAUUUUGAAAUAUAACCCUUACAUGCUUUUUAAUUUUUAAAAAGAAUAAAUUUCAAAUGAUUAAGAUGAUAUGUAUUUCUGAAACACUACAGGAUCUUCAAAUUGAUGAACUAAAAUUAUGCUGUGUAAUCGUGAGUAGGUUAGUCAUACAUAAUGUGGGAAAUGUGCUUAAAUUAAUUGUCAAAAGUAUUUAGUCGUUUAGGUUCUCACUAUAUCCAUUCAAAUCUAAGGAGUGUUAAAACAUCUUUGCUUUUAGAAUACUGUGAAUUCAUUAGUAUUCAUUGGAUACCAAUUUUCGAGGAUUUCUUGGGUACAAUUGAACCACAAUAACACUUUCAUGGAAUGACACAUUUUCUGAAGACUUUUAUGCAGACUUCAAUUAAACCACGAAUAAAUAUCCACGAACAUGCAAGCUUUCCUUCAUCAACGAAAAUUGGUACACAAGAAAUAUGAAUGAAUACACAGUACUUUUAUUCAGUUAUCACCUACCUGUCUGGUUCAAAAUAUUUUUGCAUUGUAUUUCAUUAUUGUGCAUUAUCAUUUGCCAUUGUUAUGAAUAAUUUGUGAUAUGUUCAAGUGCUACUUAUACAGUUAAGUUUUAUUUUAAAAUUUUAUUUCUAAUGAUUUGUAUUUCAACGAAUUGCUCAAUCUCUCAUUUAUUGUCUUCAUUUCUUGCAUAAUUUUAAUUUUAUUUAUAUGUAAGUCAGUAAGAUAAAGUGUAGUUUGUCAAAUAGUUAAACGAUUUAAGUGCUAAUUUAUUGUAAACAAAAGGGCACCAAUGAAGAAGCAACCCAAUGAAACACAAACCAUAUCUACUAACAGUCAUCUUUAAGUCUUCAACAAUAGAUAACCAUAUGUCAGGCUCUAAAUUGCCUGAAAUUUUAACAAAUUGUGCAUGAAAUGAAGAGAUGCUGCUUCAGUUCUGCCAUCAACACUAGAUUCAUAUAAGGACUAAAAUCAUUAAGACAUGACAAAAAGUAAAAUCACAAAAAUACUAAAACUUCCGAGAAAAUUUACAAAACAGAAAGUCUGUAAUCAAGUGGCAAAAUCAAAAGCUCAAAACACAUCAAAUGAAUGGAUAACAACUGCCAUAUUCCUGACAUGGUACAGAUAGAAUACCUCUAGAAAUACUUUGUUAGAAAAAUUUGGUCUCUAAAUUAUGAAGAGCAGUAGAAGAAACCAAAGUAAAAUUCAGAAAGAACAAAAUGUAUAGGACAAAAUUGAUUUUUGAAAAUUGAAAUUAGCAUGCAAUUUAAUUGAGAUUUUUGUAUUUAUUAUAAAGGAUCUGUAAAAAUGAACAAAUCAAUGUAUGAUGAUUGAACCACAUAUAUGAAUUUUUCUUAUUUUUUUAGGAAUAAAUUUCUAAUUGUAAAAGCUGGUAUUUAUAUGUUUUAAAUUUUUUCACACAAAAAAAUUCUGAUCUAAUUGAUGUUAAGGCAGCUUAUUGUCUAUAACAUUCCCUUGUAAAUAUGCAGCAUGUAUUAAAGUAUGAGAUUUUAAAUAUUACAGAACAAAUUUAAAGGUAUUGACAUUUCUUGAAUGUUCAUCCAGAUGCAGUUUUCAUUUUAUGUAUAUUGGCCAUAAUCACUAAUUUUAAUUUUUUUUCAUUGAACUUUUCAUGGCACUGAAACCACUUUUGUUUAGAUUUUUUUAAGGAAGUCAAAUUUGUCUCUAUUCACUAAUAUGAUUUUACAAUCAUCAAUAUGUGUUCAGAAUAAGUUUUGUAUGUAGCACUGUAUAUGUUAAAUGUUUGUACUUGUUUUAAUUUUGACUUCCAAACCAUAUUUAUUAUUUUAUAGAUAAAAAGCUUUCAGGAAGAUUUUAGUUUCCAUGCUAUGUGUGGUUUUAAACCAAAUACAUUAGUUGUGUGUCUUUUCCUGUUUUAAAUGCCUUACGCAAAAAAACAUUCUCAAAAUAACUAUGUGAUUUUCUAACAUUGAUGCAUACAGAUUUUUUAAUAAGAAAAAAUGUUUGGAUUUUUUUUUUGCAUGAAUGAAUUUCAGCAUUUGGAGAGAUAUAAGGUUGAAACUCUAAUUCCAACAACAUCCAAUAUGUGAUACCUUCCGUCCAAUAGCAAGAAUUUAGGUGUUCACAUAAAUAGUACAUUUUACAGAAAAUUCUAAUUAUAUAAUUGAUGUAGUUGUAUUUAAACUAAUUCAGGAAGGCUGUACUGUUCUCUUAAUGUCUAGAUCUGUUUAUUGAAUUUUUGAUUAUAUCACCAUAUUAAAGAGUCCAUAUUAAGACGCCAGAUUUAAAUACAAAGGAAAUUUUUUAACCUAUUUUAACUUGUUUCAAAAUUUGAUCAAAUAUUAGUAAUUUGUUUUGUAUAUUUGUUAAAUCUCAAUUCUCAUAUUGUCAAAACAAUAUAUAUAUAAUCAGGAUAAUUUAUGGCAAGGGAAAUACUAACUGAAAUGUUAAUGAUAGAGGGUCUUCUAAGUGCAUAUUAUUUGAGUUACGAUUCAAUGGUAACUGAUCUUAUAUAUUAAAUUUUGUAUAUAGCACUGAUUUCUUCCAAUAUCUUAGUCCUUUAGGGCAUGUGAGCUCUUGCUAAUACUGGCUUAUGGUGUAUAAAGGUAUAUGAAUUUGACAUAUUAUCUUUCUUAUCUUAUUCAAACUUUGCAGGAAUCAUGAAUGAAAAGACUUCUGCAAAUAAUAAUAUGAACAAAUUACCAUGCACCUGAUGGAACAUAGUUCCCAUUGAUAUCCCUAUGAAACAUGCAUGUUUUUUUAUUUAAUAAAUGACAUAACUGAAAAUUAGUUAUCUCUUUACACUGCAUUGUCAAACUUUGUAAACACAACUUAAUAAUUAAAUUAUAUAUAACCUGACAGUUAUAUGUCAAUAAUAUGAAGAAUAACUUGUGCACAAUAAUCUUAAAUAUUAUGGUUUCUAUUGAAACUUUAUGAAAAAGCACAAUUUGGUCUCCCUCUUUGUAACUCUUUUGCCAAUUCUAAUCAAACAUGAUAGGAAUAAUGUAAGGAAGGUGAUCUGAUGCAAUGACAAAAUUAUGCCAACAAAAGCAAUCUUUAAUUCUUUUUAGCCAAUACAAAAAAAAUUUUAAAAAAUCAGAAAUCUGAACUGUUGCAAAUAUGCUGAAGUCAAAUUUGACACAACUUUUCCGAAUUUUUGGUUUUAAUGCUCAUCAGAUUCAUAAAUGGUUUGAUUCAAGCACUGCUGGUGAGUCUUUUGUAGACGAAAUUUCAGCCUGGUAUCUAUGAUGAGUUAUUGAAACCCAAUUGAACUAAUUACUGAAAGACCUUUUACAAAACUUCCUCAUUUAAGGUAGCACAAUACAUAGAUUUUAUAACUCCAACUCCCAAGUUCUAAAUAAUGCUUGAAAAUUUAUAAAAGUGGUAGUUUUGGAUAGCUAACAGAUUACACUUUCAAUUUAAUGCAAUGUUAGUAUUAUGCAACAAUUAUGUAACCAAUUAUAAUGUUAACUGAGUCUAAAAUAUUUUUCACCAAAUUUCCACUUUCAAAUGAAAUUAACUGCAUAUGUAUCCCUAGAGGGUUGAUUUUAUUAUAUGUUGUUCCCAUGGCCAUUAUCUACAAAAGAGUGUCUCAGAUUUCAGAUAGAAUGUAUAGAACAAAUUUUACACCUAAUUAAACAUUGUCUUCUUUUAUGUGGUUAGGAUGUUUACACUAAUUAGAGAUUUAUGAGAGAAUGGAGCACCAAAGAGACAAUCUGAGACACCCUUUUGAAGCCCAUGAUGUGUUGAUUAAGAUUUCGUUAAAAUUUACUGUAUAGUUAAAGAGAUGAUAGAGCUAAAUUCAUUCAAGUGAACUUACCCAGAUUUUGCCACUAAUUACAUAAUAAUAGAUUGCAUAAUGAUUGCAUAAUAAAAAUAUUGCAUUCAUUUAAAAGAUUGAUCUUUUAUCUAUCCAUAUAUACCUCUUUUAUUAUUUUCUAUGCAUUCAUAAGAAAGUUACAGCAUUUCAAAGAUUAGUGAUUGGAAGUAAAAAAUCUUUGUAUUGUGCUACCUUAAUGUUAACAAGUAAUGGAGGACAAACGAGGAAGCAUUGGUGACACAUAGCUGUAAUUUUAUCUUCCUCUUAGAAUUAUGGAAAGGACGUUUUAUUUUCCUUUGGGAAAGUAUAACAUUUUACCAUAGUGCUCUUACGUACAAUUAAUACAAAAAGCUUGUAAUCAUUACUAAGAAAUUUUGUUUUAAUGUUUUUUUGAUGCAUUGUGUUAUAUUAUGCAAAUGUUAGUUAUUUUGAAAUAAA
rnacentral:lncRNA from 1 species